UACGGAGGGUGCGAGCGUUAAUCGGAAUUACUGGGCGUAAAGCGCGCGUAGGCUGUUUUGUAAGUCAGGGGUGAAAGCCCACGUCUCAACCGUGGAAUUGCCCUUGAAACUGCGGGACUCGAAUUCGGGAGAGGAUGGCGGAAUUUCAGGUGUAGGAGUGAAAUCCGUAGAUAUCUGAAAGAACAUCAGUGGCGAAGGCGGCCAUCUGGAUCGAUAUUGACGCUGAGGCGCGAAAGCGUGGGGAGCAAAC
rnacentral:rRNA from 1 species